rnacentral:lncRNA from 1 species
GAGGUCGUCAUCACACCUUUUUUCCAGUUUCUCAUUUUGCUCGCUAAGUUUCUCAUUUCUCUCCACGAGCUCAUUACAAGUAUUUUUCAACAAAGUGUUGUUCUUCUUUAAGACCACAAUUAAUCUCGGUGAGCUCGCUUUUUAAGCCAUACAAAAGCUUUUCCUUCUCCACAAGCUCAGCAACUCUAGCCUCGAGCUGC